AUGGUGGAGGUGAGCAAGACAGGGUACGACUCUUGCAACGGCUCCAGCCCCAUAGCGACUUUCUCGACCGGUAACGAUGUUGUUCCGCUUGCCACCGUCGGGACCCGAUAUUUCAUCUGCGGCGUCUCUGGGCACUGCGAUGCCAGCAUGAAGGUCGAGGUCAACGUCAAGUCCAAAGAAGUGCGGACUGUGCAGCGGUGCCGACGGACAGGGAACCGACGUCAUUGCCAGUCCGAGACAGUAUUAAGCUCAACUGCGGAGGCUGGCGUUGAUCAGUCUGCGGUGGCCCGACUCGGUCUAAUUGUUGUUGCGGCUGGUCUUAUGUUGUUCUUUUAG
rnacentral:rRNA from 1 species